rnacentral:rRNA from 1 species
UACGGGGGGGGCAAGCGUUGUUCGGAAUUACUGGGCGUAAAGGGCUCGUAGGUGGCCAACUAAGUCAGACGUGAAAUCCCUCAGCUUAACUGGGGAACUGCGUCUGAUACUGGAUGGCUUGAGUUUGGGAGAGGGAUGCGGAAUUCCAGGUGUAGCGGUGAAAUGCGUUGAUAUCGGAAGGAACGCCGGUGGCGAAAGCGGCGUACUGGAUCUCUUCUGACGCUGAGGCGCGAAAGCUAGGGGAGCAAACGGG